UCAUUGUCUGUUGCCUGGCCCAAGCCAGCACAGGAUUUGGGGAGAGGAGCACAAGGGGGAAAGACUAGGAGGACAUCAGGAUGGAGUGGGCAUGGCAUCCUGCUCUGGCAGCCAGCAAAAUCUUCCCCCGCUGUGGUUCUGACCUCCCAGAGGGGUGAAUACUGAUGCUCCCCCUGACAUGGCACAGAACUCUAGACCGAUCACCACAUGCAAAAAAAAAAAAAAAUUUCAACCAAACCAACAGCAAAACCAUAAUUCACGGUGUUGAGACCCAGAGAGGGGAAUAAAAUGACAGGCCUGAUUCAGGAAGGGGGUGGCUUUGGCUCCCAGCCAAAGUAGCUCCAGGCUGGCAUGUGCUCCAAGGAGCCAGCAGCCACCAAAAACCACCCUGCUGCACCUCUGCCCACCCUGCUUCCCACACUGGAGUGAGACUGCUCACAGGGUGGAGGAGAACAAGCCCCUGGGAGCAGGGUGUUGCUGCCUGUGACAGAAGGCUACGGGUACCCAGGCACAUAGUGCUGAGUGUCAGGUUAGAGCAAAGGCUGAAAGCCACGAGCCCACCUCUUCCCCUUCCCCCUUGACCAUUCCCCACCCUCCCCACUUUUUUUUUAGACCAUGCUCCGACUGUUACUUUGUUCUCACUGCUGGGAAUGGCAUUGCCUCCAGAGGAUCCCAGGCUCAGCUCCUUAGGAAGCUUCAGUGUGCCAGCUCUGCUCUGCCAAGGGGAACAUUAUGGCCAUGGAUGUGAUCUCGUCAACUCUCUCAAAAGCAAGCUAACAAGCAAACUGACCUCCACAGCACCUCCACAGCACUGGGAGUGGAGCCUUCUCCCACAGGACAAUAGCCUUUCUGCCUCUAAGAUAAAAGAGGUCUCAAGGACAGAACUGAACCUGCAAGACCCAUGGCCUCGUGGCCUGCCCUUCCUCCUUCCCUCCUUACCUCAUGUCUGUCUUGGGGGAGGGACAGUUUCCCUGUGGAGUUCAACAAGCUCCUCUUCUGCAGCUCGUAAACAGGCUCUACUAACAGGUAUAUCAUCCACCUAUGCAACUCUUCCAGAAGCUGCCAGAUUUUCAGGAGCCCAUUACAAUGUGCAGCAUGGCCAUCCAGCACUGAGAAUAAGCACAGUGGCUGCUGGAAAGCUUAGUGGGUUUUAUUCCUCCCCCAUUCCCCAGGAAGACUCUUUUUGUUGGGCCAUUUUGUUUGUUCGUUUGUUUGUUUUUUGUAAACUUUGUUUGGGGGAAAUGAAGCUUGUGAGAAAUUGGUGCCCAUCCUGA
rnacentral:lncRNA from 1 species